rnacentral:rRNA from 1 species
GAUGAACGCUGGCGGCGUGCCUAAUACAUGCAAGUCGAGCGAACAGACGAGGAGCUUGCUCCUCUGACGUUAGCGGCGGACGGGUGAGUAACACGUGGAAAACCUACCUAUAAGACUGGGAUAACUUCGGGAAACCGGAGCUAAUACCGGAUAAUAUAUUGAACCGCAUGGUUCAAUAGUGAAAGACGGUUUUGCUGUCACUUAUAGAUGGAUCCGCGCCGCAUUAGCUAGUUGGUAAGGUAACGGCUUACCAAGGCAACGAUGCGUAGCCGACCUGAGAGGGUGAUCGGCCACACUGGAACUGAGACACGGUCCAGACGCCUACGGGAGGCAGCAGUAGGGAAUCUGCCGCAAUGGGCGAAAGCCUGACGGAGCGACGCCGCGUGAGUGAUGAAGGUCUUCGGAGCGUAAAGCUCUGUUAUUGGUGAAGAACAAAUGUGUAAGUAACUAUGCACGUCUUGACGGUACCUGAUCAGAAAGCCACGGCUAACUACGUG